ensembl:miRNA
AGAUGGACACCGCGGAGGAAGGUAAGACGGCAGCGCCCGCGCCCUGUGCUUGCGGCUCCCGCGGUCGGGUCGGGCC